GCCUACUUGGUGAAAUUGGUAAACACGAUAGAUUUAAAAUCUGUUCUCAUAAAAGAGUUAUUGGUUCAAGUCCAAUAGUAGGUA
rnacentral:tRNA from 2 species